rnacentral:tRNA from 1 species
GCAGGUGUGGCGGAAUUUGGUAGACGCGUAGGAUUUAGGUUCCUGUGUCAUAAUGAUGUGAGAGUUCGAGUCUCUCCACCUGUA